rnacentral:rRNA from 1 species
CGGCGAGUGAAGCGGCAAGAGCUCAAAUUUGAAAUCUGGCCCUCUCAGGGUCCGAGUUGUAAUUUGUAGAGGGCGCUUUGGCGUCGGCUACGGCCUAAGUUCCUUGGAACAGGACGUCACAGAGGGUGAGAACCCCGUACGUGGCCGCUGGCCUUCGCCGUGUAAAGCCCCUUCGACGAGUCGAGUUGUUUGGGAAUGCAGCUCUAAAUGGGAGGUAAAUUUCUUCUAAAGCUAAAUACUGGCCAGAGACCGAUAGCGCACAAGUAGAGUGAUCGAAAGAUGAAAAGCACUUUGGAAAGAGAGUCAAAAAGCACGUGAAAUUGUUGAAAGGGAAGCGCUUGCAGCCAGACUUGCCUGUAGUUGCUCACCCGAGCCACCGGCUCGGUGCACUCUUCUGCGGGCAGGCCAGCAUCAGUCCGGGCGGUCGGAUAAAGGCCUCGGGAAUGUAGCUCCCCUCGGGGAGUGUUAUAGCCCGGGGUGCCAUGCGACCAGCCUGGACUGAGGUCCGCGCAUCUGCUAGGAUGCUGGCGUAAUGGCUGUAAGCGGCCCGUCUUGAAACACGGACCAAGGAGUCUAACAUCUAUGCGAGUGUUUGGGUGUCAAGCCCGGGCGCGCAAUGAAAGUGAACGGAGGUGGGAACCCCUCGGGGCGCACCAUCGACCGAUCCUGAUGUCUUCGGAUGGAUUUGAGUAAGAGCAUAGCUGUUGGGACCCGAAAGAUGGUGAACUAUGCCUGAAUAGGGUGAAGCCAGAGGAAACUCUGGUGGAGGCUCGCAGCGGUUCUGACGUGCAAAUCGAUCGUCAAAUUUGGGCAUAGGGGCGAAAGACUAAUCGACACGAUGCACAGU